rnacentral:rRNA from 1 species
AUUGAACGCUGGCGGCAUGCCUUACACAUGCAAGUCGAACGGUAACAGGUCUUCGGAUGCUGACGAGUGGCGAACGGGUGAGUAAUACAUCGGAACGUGCCUAGUAGUGGGGGAUAACUACUCGAAAGAGUGGCUAAUACCGCAUGAGAUCUACGGAUGAAAGCAGGGGAUCGCAAGACCUUGUGCUACUAGAGCGGCCGAUGGCAGAUUAGGUAGUUGGUGGGAUAAAAGCUUAGCAAGCCGACGAUCUGUAGCUGGUCUGAGAGGACGAUUAGCCACACUGGGACUGAGACACGGCCCAGACUACUACGGGAGGCAGCAGUGGGGAAUUUUGGACAAUGGGCGCAAGCCUGAUCCAGCAAUGCCGCGUGCAGGAUGAAGGCCUUCGGGUUGUAAACUGCUUUUGUACGGAACGAAAAGCCCUGGGUUAAUACCCUGGGGUCAUGACGGUACCGUAAGAAUAAGCACCGGCUAACUACGUGCCAGCCGCCGCCGUAA